CUACGUGCCAGCAGCCGCGGUAAUACGUAGGGGGCUAGCGUUAUCCGGAUUUACUGGGCGUAAAGGGUGCGUAGGUGGUCCUUCAAGUCGGUGGUUAAAGGCUACGGCUCAACCGUAGUAAGCCGCCGAAACUGGAGGACUUGAGUGCAGGAGAGGAAAGUGGAAUUCCCAGUGUAGCGGUGAAAUGCGUAGAUAUUGGGAGGAACACCAGUAGCGAAGGCGGCUUUCUGGACUGCAACUGACACUGAGGCACGAAAGCGUGGGUAGCAAACAGGAUUAGAUACCCUGGUAGUCCACGCUGUAAACGAUGGGUACUAGGUGUCGGGGGUUACCCCCCUCGGUGCCGCAGCUAACGCAUUAAGUACUCCGCCUGGGGAGUACGCACGCAAGUGUGAAACUCAAAGGAAUUGACGGGGACCCGCACAAGUAGCGGAGCAUGUGGUUUAAUUCGAAGCAACGCGAAGAACCUUACCUAAGCUUGACAUCCC
rnacentral:rRNA from 1 species